GAAGAGAUGGUUUUGUGGCUAAAACACUGGACUCAGACUCCAGAGAUCUGGGUUCAGUGCCUGGUUCUGCCA
rnacentral:tRNA from 1 species